UACGGAGGAUGCAAGCGUUAUCCGGAUUUAUUGGGUUUAAAGGGUGCGUAGGCGGGAAAAUAAGUCAGUGGUGAAAUCCUACAGCUUAACUGUAGAAUUGCCGUUGAUACUGUUUUCUUGAGUAUGGUCAAGGAAGGCGGAAUGUGUAAUGUAGCGGUGAAAUGCUUAGAUAUUACACAGAACACCAAUUGCGAAGGCAGCUUUCUGGCCCAUUACUGACGCUGAGGCACGAAAGCGUGGGGAUCGAACAGGAUUAGAUACCCCCGUACGU
rnacentral:rRNA from 1 species